rnacentral:rRNA from 1 species
CCUACGGGGGGCAGCAGUGAGGAAUAUUGGUCAAUGGACGAGAGUCUGAACCAGCCAAGUAGCGUGAAGGAUGACUGCCCUAUGGGUUGUAAACUUCUUUUAUAUGGGAAUAAAACGUUCCACGUGUGGGAUUUUGUAUGUACCAUAUGAAUAAGGAUCGGCUAACUCCGUGCCAGCAGCCGCGGUAAUACGGAGGAUCCGAGCGUUAUCCGGAUUUAUUGGGUUUAAAGGGAGCGUAGGUGGAUUGUUAAGUCAGUUGUGAAAGUUUGCGGCUUAACCGUAAAAUUGCAGUUGAAACUGGCAGUCUUGAGUACAGUAGAGGUGGGCGGAAUUCGUGGUGUAGCGGUGAAAUGCUUAGAUAUCACGAAGAACUCCGAUUGCGAAGGCAGUUCACUGGACUGCAACUGACACUGAGGCUCGAAAGUGUGGGUAUCAAACAGGAUUAGAUACCCCUGUAGUC